ACAUCUUUCUUUCUUCACAGGAAAGAAGGAGGAGAACUUUGCAAGGGUCCUGUUAUCUAGGAUGGAGAAAGAAAUCCAGGUAUUCUCCCAGAGAAUUAAAACUCUGCAAGAAGAUGUACAAGAAUGGCCAGAGACCACAAUGUAUGAGCUUGAUCUUCUCAGAGCACAGCUGGAAGGAAAGGAAGAGGAGGAAAUUUCAAGGGCCCUGUCAUACAGGUUGAAUCUGAAAUUCCAGCAGCUCUUCCAAGAAAUUAAAACUUUGGAAGAAGAUUUAGAGGAAUUGCUGAAGUUAUCACAAAAUGAGUUUCAGCUUCUCAGUGCAGACCAGAAGUAACAAGGCAUGGUUGUAGGAAGGUGCAUAAGAAGACAAGUGGUGCAAUACAAACACACAGACAACUUCUGCAUGGAUGAAAUAUUGAUCACUGAGCAAAAUUGAAGUCUGGAAUAAAGUCACAAGUUUUUGGAGAAAUAAUUAUAAUGUAUUGUCUCUAUCACUUUAUUUCAUACUUCUGGUUGUGGUUGAAGAAAUAAUGGAGCUGGAAUGGAAAGGUCCUCAGAAAAGUCUUUAAAGAAGUUCUAUGUUGCUUCCUAUUUUUUCCAUCCAGCCUUCAUUACAUUUUUCCUGAGCUUGACCUCCCACGCUGCCUGCAUUUCCAGGGCUCACUGUAUGGGGAAAUGCUCAUGCUGCUGAGUGAGAUAAUUUUUAGGGCAUUCACCUCCUGUGCUUUGGUUUCUAAUCCUCCUGUGUCAUGGCAGAUACAUUGACCGUGUGGUACCAACAAAAGAUGGAAACAGCAGCCAAAGGCCACCCAAAGCAGAGCAGCUGCAAGACUCAGCAAGUUCUACACCAAAUCUCAGGGAAGACUCCUGGGAAUCUUGGACUUUGAAUAUUCUAACAUUUCGUGUGUAUAAAGAAUCUGGGAUGCACUGCAGUAUGGGAAUAAUUUCAUCUGGAGAAUGAAGUGUUCAGUUGCAGUUAUGAUUUUUAUGUCACAUGUUUACUACAUUCACAUUGCUCAUCUUCUUUUCUGCUUCUGUUUUUAAUAAAUUUAUAUCAACACAAGUUU